UACGUAGGGGGCAAGCGUUGUCCGGAUUUAUUGGGCGUAAAGCGUGCGCAGGCGGUUGCGUAAGUCAGAUGUGAAAGCCCCGGGCUCAACCUGGGAAUUGCAUUUGAGACUGCGUAGCUAGGGUGCGGAAGAGGGAAGCGGAAUUUCCGGUGUAGCGGUGAAAUGCGUAGAUAUCGGAAGGAACACCAGUGGCGAAAGCGGCUUCCUGGUCCAGAACCGACGUUCAGGCACGAAAGCGUGGGGAGCAAACAGG
rnacentral:rRNA from 1 species